UCCGGGGGGGGCAAGCGUUGUUCGGAAUUACUGGGCGUAAAGGGCUCGUAGGCGGCCAACUAAGUCGGAUGUGAAAUCCCCAGGCUUAACCUGGGAACUGCAUCCGAUACUGGAUGGCUUGAAUUCGGGAGAGGGAUGCAGAAUUCCAGGUGUAGCGGUGAAAUGCGUAGAUAUCUGGAGGAAUACCGGUGGCGAAGGCGGCAUCCUGGACCGAAAUUGACGCUGAGGCGCGAAAGCCAGGGGAGCAAACGGG
rnacentral:rRNA from 1 species